CACGUAGGGUGCGAGCGUUGUCCGGAAUUAUUGGGCGUAAAGAGCUCGUAGGUGGUUCAGUAAGUCGAGUGUGAAACCUCCAGGCUCAACCUGGAGACGCCACCCGAUACUGCUGUGACUAGAGUCCAGUAGGGGAGCACGGAAUUCCUGGUGUAGCGGUGAAAUGCGCAGAUAUCAGGAGGAACACCAGUGGCGAAGGCGGUGCUCUGGGCUGGAACUGACACUGAGGAGCGAAAGCGUGGGUAGCAAACAGG
rnacentral:rRNA from 1 species